rnacentral:rRNA from 1 species
UACGGUAGGGGCAUAGCGUUGUCCGGAUUUAUUGGGCGUAAAGCGCGUGUAGGCGGCCAGAUAGGUCUGCUGUGAAAACUCGAGGCUCAACCUCGAGCUGUCGGCGGAAACCAUCUGGCUAGAGUCCGGAAGAGGGAGAGUGGAAUUCCCGGUGUAGCGGUGAAAUGCGCAGAUAUCGGGAGGAACACCAGUGGCGAAGGCGACUACCUGGCCUGUUCUUG